rnacentral:rRNA from 1 species
GGCUCAGGACGAACGCUGGCGGCGUGCUUCAUACAUGCAAGUCGAACGAGAAGCUACCUCCGGGUAAUGGAAAGUGGCGGACGGGUGAGGUAAUGUGUAGAGAAUCUGCCCUAGAGUGGGGGACAACAGUUGGAAACGACUGCUAAUACCGCAUAUGCGCGUAGCUGAGAUGCUAUUCGUGAAAACUAAGGUGCUCUGGGAUGAGUCUGCAUCUGAUUAGCUAGUUGGCGGUGUAAUGGACCACCAAGGCGACGAUCAGUAGCUGGUUUGAGAGGAUGAUCAGCCACAAUGGGACUGAGACACGGCCCAUACUCCUACGGGAGGCAGCAGUAGGGAAUUUUGCGCAAUGGGGGAAACCCUGACGCCAGCAACGCCGCGUGAUUGAAUAAGCCCUUCGGGGUGUAAAGAUCUGUCAGUGGGGACGAAACUUGACGGUACCCACAGAGGAAGCAUCGGCUAACUCCGUGCCAGCCGCUGC